CCAUUUUGAGAAAUUAUGGGUGAAGGAAGUGAAUUGGAAGGUUGUAAUUUAAUUAAACUGAACUUCAUAAAUAUAUGGCAUAUAUAAUGUUAGUAUUGCGUUUUAAAAACAUGUCGAAAUAAGAUUUUGCAAUUGAGGAGAGGCUACUUUGAAGAGAUUUUUAUCUCAUCUGAUCUGGGAAGACAGUGAUGUCAGAGUGAGCCAGGAAGAUGUAGGAGAUGCCCCACUUUUUUCCGUACUUUCUAUGAAGACAUCCUAUGUGGAAGCUGUGGAGAGCCUGGGUGAAGAGACUGCUGUCCCACAGCGAUACUAAGGGAGCAGCAGUUCAUAUCCCUUGUAGGGUGUUUCGGUAUGGCAUUGUGUUGUUAUGAUAAUGAGUACUGACAUUUUGGACCUUCCUACCACUUUUUACCAACAUAGCAACCGAAAUAUCAGCAAUCAUUACCAUUUUAAUGUGGUGCUAUACCUAGACCCAGAACAUUCUUCCCCACUGCAUGACAUCCAGGAGGAGCCUGUCCAGCAAGUUUCUGCACACCCUGUUAUUGCACAGGAACUGCAGGGAGCCUGUGCACUAAAGUCCUGGAGUGGCAUCAGUGAAGGGAAGCUGUUCCCAGCAAUGAAGGAUGCUGAGUUUCUGAGUGCACAAGGUCCACACAGCAUCUUCCUUUCCAUUCCACUCCUCAGCUGUCUCACACAUGCAGGAAGCCCUUGUAUUAAAGUGGGGCCAUGUGUGGAGCCGAUAAGAAUACUUGGAUACCUGAUGGCUGUUCUGAAAUAUGCACUUGGAGCCUCAAACAAUCUAUUCGUCAACAGUGGAAAAGGCUAUCAUCCAACCAAGGAUAGGUGUAAGCUCAUGUACUCCCCUUGAUGAGAUACAUUCUUGUGUGUGCUUGACAAUCACAUUGUUCUCCUGCCAGAAAUAAACAAUUCAGAAAAAGGUCUGGAAUGAUCACUGUCCCGUGUAAGAAAGGAUACCAUACUCAACUGAGGAAGUCACUUGAGACUUCUGAGAAGUUCAUGUUCCUUGUAUGAUGUCUGGGUGUAGCACUAUGUUAAAAUAAUAAAGAUGAUUCAUGUCUGGAAGGAACUUAUGAGGUGUAUCAGAAAGUUCGUGGACUAUUAUUGUUGUGAUUGCCUUGUUGAAAGAAGAUGAGAAGGGAAGCCAUGUCACACGUCUGCAAGUAUAUUUAUUGCAUCAAUCUGCCAUGUGACACCAUGCUAUGAACAUGCAUUGUUUUUACACAGAUGAUUUCUCAACUUCAUAUCUCGUUUUGUCUGCGAUAGAUGGCAAAAUCAAGCAACAUGUCUGCAUCGAGUUUUGCAUGAAGCUCAGUAAAUCCACUACCAAAACCCUUAAUGUGCUUCAUGAGUCUUUUGGAGAACAUUUUUUAAGCCAGACAGCAGUUUUAAUUGGCAUUUAUGUUUCAAGGCUGGUUGAGUGACAGUUGAAGACAACCAGGCACCAGCAAAAUGACAGAAAAUGUUGAAAAAAUUUGAGAACUCACCCAUGAAGACCAUCGCCAAACACUCCAUGAGCUUGCAGACACUGUUAGGAUCAGUUAUGGAGUUUGCCAGGAGAUCUUAACAGAAAAUUUGAAUACGGGCUGCAUUGCUUCAUCGCAACAAUGUGCCUGCCCACAUGUCCCUGAAAACCACAGAGUUUUGACUAACAGCAACAUGGAUAUCAUUCCCCAUCCCCAUAGUCCCUGGACUUAGCCCCCUGUGAUUUCGCUUUGUUUCCGCACUGAAAAUUAAACUGAAGGUAUGAUGUUUUGAGACAGUGUCUUACAUCCAAAGGAAUUGCAAGCAGUACUUGACAGCAUUAAGGAAAAUGACUUCCACGGUGCUUUUGAAGUGUGGAAAAAAUUAUGGGAUCACUAUACAUUUCUAAUAAGACUAUUUUGAAGGAAAUGGCAGCUAAAAGUAGUAAGUUAAGCCAGCAUUUCCUCUUUGACCUAGUCCAGAGACAUACCGAUAACACCUUGUAAGUGAUGUUUACUGUUUUGACUUGGUGCUAUACCCGGACUCAGGAACAGUCUUCCCUCAAUGCAAGAUGCCCAUGAUUCGUACGACUUCAGACUGAGAGAUACCAAGCAAGUUUUUGCAGUGCCUGUUGCACAGGCCCUACCAGGAGUCCGUGCCCUGGAGUCCAGGAGUGACCACUGGAGGGAUGCUGUUCCUAGUGAGCAAGUUCUAUGACGUGUCUACACCUUUUGAACUAAAAACCAUCUAACAGCGCCUUCUGUGCUAAAGGUAUGUGUCACACAAGAUACCUCUAGCUCUGUUAUCUGAAUGUUUGAAAACAUUGUAGCAACUGUAAUGUUCUUGGUACAGGUCAGUUCAUGCGGUGUUGUUUUGACGUGAGAAGUGGCACUCUGUGCAGGGGCUCUAUAUGAUCACCUGUCCAGGUGACUGAAUGUCAUUAGUAACUCAGUUCAAAGUAAACCAAAUUAGUGGGGUCCUCAGGCAGAUAGUGUCUGAGUUAACUUGCCAAAACACAAUGUUGAGGAAGCCAGGUGGACAGGUCGCUGCCAAUCUGCAGAACUGGGUGGGGUGUAUGAAGGUUCAGGGCCAGAUUAUUGUUUUAUUUAUUUUCGAAUCCAUUUUAUAGAAAUUAAUCUUAAUAGUAACUUACAGUUCAUUGACUCUGCAGGUAUUUAAUUUGAAUCCACUUCAUGGUGAUGUAUCAUGAACCAAAUAUGUAUUCGUUCAGUAUAAUCAUGAUAAAUUAAUCUGACACUGUUGUCUGUUUAAUUUUAUUGUCAAGUCAUGCCAUGUCUACAGACCCCAUUUUAUGGUGAUAGUGUAGGACAGGCAUGUCCAGCUUCAAAGAGGUUGUGAUCAACUAUUUAGUGUCAAAACUGGCAGUGAUCUAGCACCCCCUCCUAUUGUCAUACCUUGCUUUAAGCAAAAAUAUUGAUAAAAAUAACACGACUCAUGAUGUUUGUUGUAAAAGCAACAUACGU